UGAGGUUCCAUAAUAACAGAGUGAGGAUAAUACAGAGGAGAGGCUGAUAUCACCCUGAGAUUCCAUAAUAACAGAGUGAGGAUAAUGCAGAAGGAGAAGCUGAGAUCACCCUGAGAUUCCAUAAUAACAGAGUGAGGAUAACGCAGAAGGAGAGGUUGGGAUCUGGGUACCAGUCCAGUGUCCACAGACAGAUGGGGGUCCAUAAAACUUUUUUUUUAAGAGAGA